rnacentral:rRNA from 1 species
UGNAAGUCGACGGAAGGNCCUUCGGGGUACUCGAGUGGCGAACGGGUGAGUAACACGUGGGUGAUCUGCCCUGCACUUUGGGAUAAGCCUGGGAAACUGGGUCUAAUACCGAAUAGGACCACGCGCUUCAUGGUGUGUGGUGGAAAGCUUUUGCGGUGUGGGAUGGGCCCGCGGCCUAUCAGCUUGUUGGUGGGGUAAUGGCCUACCAAGGCGACGACGGGUAGCCGGCCUGAGAGGGUGACCGGCCACACUGGGACUGAGAUACGGCCCAGACUCCUACGGGAGGCAGCAGUGGGGAAUAUUGCACAAUGGGCGCAAGCCUGAUGCAGCGACGCCGCGUGAGGGAUGACGGCCUUCGGGUUGUAAACCUCUUUCAAUAGGGACGAAGCGCAAGUGACGGUACCUAUAGAAGAAGCACCGGCCAACUACGUGCCAGCAGCCGCGGUAAUACGUAGGGUGCGAGCGUUGUCCGGAAUUACUGGGCGUAAAGAGCUCGUAGGUGGUUUGUCGCGUUGUUCGUGAAAACUCACAGCUUAACUGUGGGCGUGCGGGCGAUACGGGCAGACUAGAGUACUGCAGGGGAGACUGGAAUUCCUGGUGUAGCGGUGGAAUGCGCAGAUAUCAGGAGGAACACCGGUGGCGAAGGCGGGUCUCUGGGCAGUAACUGACGCUGANGAGCGAAAGCGUGNGGAGCGAACAGGAUUAGAUACCCUGGUAGUCCACGCCGUAAACGGUGGGUACUAGGUGUGGGUUCCUUCCUUGGGAUCCGUGCCGUANCUAACGCAUUAAGUACCCCGCCUGGGGAGUACGGCCGCAAGGCUAAAACUCAAAGGAAUUGACGGGGGCCCGCACAAGCGGCGGANCAUGUGGAUUAAUUCGAUGCAACGCGAAGAACCUUACCUGGGUUUGACNUGCACAGGACGCCNGCAGANAUGUCGGUUCCCUUGUGGCCUGUGUGCAGNUGGNGCAUGGCUGUCGUCAGCUCGUGUCGUGAGAUGNUGGGUUAAGUCCCGCAACGAGCGCAACCCUUG